rnacentral:rRNA from 1 species
CGGGGUGCAGCAGGCGCGAAAACUCCACAAUGUACGGAAGUACGAUGGGGUUAUCUCGAGUGCAGUCCGAUAAGGGCUGCUUUUCCAUAGAGUAAUAUCCUGUGGGAAUAAGAGGGGGGCAAGACUGGUGUCAGCCGCCGCGGUAACACCAGCCCCUCGAGUGGUGGGGACUAUUAUUUGGCCUAAAGCGUCCGUAGCUGGCUGUAUCCGUCCCCCGUUAAAUCCAGCGUCCUAAGCGUUGGACUGCGGGUGAUACCAUACAGCUAGAGGGUGGGAUAGGUGAGCGGUAUUUCUGGGGUAGGGGCGAAAUCCUUUGAUCCCAGGAGGACCACCAGCGGCGAAGGCUGCUCACUAGAACACGCCUGACGGUCAGGGACGAAAGCUGGGGCAGCGAACCGGAUUAGAUACCCGGGUAGUCCCAGCUGUAAACGAUGCUAGCUAGGUGUUGGGUCGGCCACGUGCCGCCCCAGUGCCGCAGGGAAGCCGUUAAGCUAGCCGCCUGGGGAGUACGGCCGCAAGGCUGAAACUUAAAGGAAUUGGCGGGGGAGCACAAGGG